AAGAACAUUUCGAAAUCAGUAUGGUUAUUCUCGUAAAUGAAAUUAGAUAAAUUCUUCCCAGAAUCGAAGAUACAAGUUUAAGUUUAAAUUAACCCUUACAUGAACAGCUAGGAUAAAUAGUGAGAUCGAUAUUUGUAUCUACAAUUCCCCUCUUAGAUCAUAUCAUGAUGUACCUUACGGAAAAUAUCCAUGGGAGGCCUGCAGCAGAGAGACAAAAGGAGGCAUAUUCAGACGUGCUAAUCACGUCUGCGGGACUUUCAUUAUUUCUUCACCUCGAUUUCCCCCAUUUGCUCUGUGCCAUAGGUUUUCCCUUUAAGAGGAGUUCGAGCUGUCAAUUUUCAGCUUUUUCAAUUAUCUGUUGAAUACAUCUUUUAAGCGUACAAGUUAAAUAUUUCAAACAGCUGACAUGUUAACCAUUUUUAAACAGACUGACCAUCACGUUAUCUUUAGCUUGAGCCUUGGGUCAAUACAGGCAAAGUGUAUUAUUCCCAACAACGGGAAUAUUAUUAUUAUUCUAAUUCAUAAUGUAAGCUCAUAUAGUCAAAACGGGAAUAAUAUCUAUCCCCCUCUUUGGACCAGGGUCUUGGAUUACCAGUCGACCCAGUGAUCUGGGGCCAGGUCAAAAAACCCCAGUGGCAAAAACUCAUAUUUGAGAAAAAAAACACAUCUGGGGAAACCGUGAGUGGGGGCCAUGACUGUGUAGACAUGUCAUCCCCUCACGUUGACAGCAUUAGCGACUUAUAAAACCUGCACUUGUAAGUAAAUAGCUCGGGUAUCGGGAUUGGGAAACACUUCUUGAUUAGUUUGAAAAGGCCAAUUUACAUAUUAAAUCAUGAGAACUUAUAAUCAGCUUGAAAUUCUAACAAUAAUCCCAGUCAUGACCUUGCAUCCUAUGUCUCCUAAUCACAUCCCUAUUUCGACGGUCCAGUCAUAUCCACACUUAAUACAUGGGAAUCCAUCCUUGGUACACUCAACAUACAUCAAUGACAC